rnacentral:rRNA from 1 species
GCCAUGCCACCCUGAAUGCGCCCGAUCUGGUCUGAUCUAGGAAGCUAAGCAAGGUCGGGCCUGGUUAGUACUUGGAUGCGAGAGAGGGAGCAAAAUGAU